rnacentral:rRNA from 1 species
GGGUUGUGAGGUUAAGCGACUAAGCGUACACGGUGGAUGCCCUGGCAGUCAGAGGCGAUGAAGGACGUGCUAAUCUGCGAUAAGCGUCGGUAAGGUGAUAUGAACCGUUAUAACCGGCGAUUUCCGAAUGGGGAAACCCAGUGUGUUUCGACACACUAUCAUUAACUGAAUCCAUAGGUUAAUGAGGCGAACCGGGGGAACUGAAACAUCUAAGUACCCCGAGGAAAAGAAAUCAACCGAGAUUCCCCCAGUAGCGGCGAGCGAACGGGGAGCAGCCCAGAGCCUGAAUCAGUGUGUGUGUUAGUGGAAGCGUCUGGAAAGGCGCGCGAUACAGGGUGACAGCCCCGUACACAAAAAUGCACAUAUUGUGAGCUCGAUGAGUAGGGCGGGACACGUGGUAUCCUGUCUGAAUAUGGGGGGACCAUCCUCCAAGGCUAAAUACUCCUGACUGACCGAUAGUGAACCAGUACCGUGAGGGAAAGGCGAAAAGAACCCCGGCGAGGGGAGUGAAAAAGAACCUGAAACCGUGUACGUACAAGCAGUGGGAGCACGCUUAGGCGUGUGACUGCGUACCUUUUGUAUAAUGGGUCAGCGACUUAUAUUCUGUAGCAAGGUUAACCGAAUAGGGGAGCCGAAGGGAAACCGAGUCUUAACUGGGCGUUAAGUUGCAGGGUAUAGACCCGAAACCCGGUGAUCUAGCCAUGGGCAGGUUGAAGGUUGGGUAACACUAACUGGAGGACCGAACCGACUAAUGUUGAAAAAUUAGCGGAUGACUUGUGGCUGGGGGUGAAAGGCCAAUCAAACCGGGAGAUAGCUGGUUCUCCCCGAAAGCUAUUUAGGUAGCGCCUCGUGAAUUCAUCUCCGGGGGUAGAGCACUGUUUCGGCAAGGGGGUCAUCCCGACUUACCAACCCGAUGCAAACUGCGAAUACCGGAGAAUGUUAUCACGGGAGACACACGGCGGGUGCUAACGUCCGUCGUGAAGAGGGAAACAACCCAGACCGCCAGCUAAGGUCCCAAAGUCAUGGUUAAGUGGGAAACGAUGUGGGAAGGCCCAGACAGCCAGGAUGUUGGCUUAGAAGCAGCCAUCAUUUAAAGAAAGCGUAAUAGCUCACUGGUCGAGUCGGCCUGCGCGGAAGAUGUAACGGGGCUAAACCAUGCACCGAAGCUGCGGCAGCGACGCUUAUGCGUUGUUGGGUAGGGGAGCGUUCUGUAAGCCUGUGAAGGUGUGCUGUGAGGCAUGCUGGAGGUAUCAGAAGUGCGAAUGCUGACAUAAGUAACGAUAAAGCGGGUGAAAAGCCCGCUCGCCGGAAGACCAAGGGUUCCUGUCCAACGUUAAUCGGGGCAGGGUGAGUCGACCCCUAAGGCGAGGCCGAAAGGCGUAGUCGAUGGGAAACAGGUUAAUAUUCCUGUACUUGGUGUUACUGCGAAGGGGGGACGGAGAAGGCUAUGUUGGCCGGGCGACGGUUGUCCCGGUUUAAGCGUGUAGGCUGGUUUUCCAGGCAAAUCCGGAAAAUCAAGGCUGAGGCGUGAUGACGAGGCACUACGGUGCUGAAGCAACAAAUGCCCUGCUUCCAGGAAAAGCCUCUAAGCAUCAGGUAACAUCAAAUCGUACCCCAAACCGACACAGGUGGUCAGGUAGAGAAUACCAAGGCGCUUGAGAGAACUCGGGUGAAGGAACUAGGCAAAAUGGUGCCGUAACUUCGGGAGAAGGCACGCUGAUAUGUAGGUGAAGCGACUUGCUCGUGGAGCUGAAAUCAGUCGAAGAUACCAGCUGGCUGCAACUGUUUAUUAAAAACACAGCACUGUGCAAACACGAAAGUGGACGUAUACGGUGUGACGCCUGCCCGGUGCCGGAAGGUUAAUUGAUGGGGUCAGCGCAAGCGAAGCUCUUGAUCGAAGCCCCGGUAAACGGCGGCCGUAACUAUAACGGUCCUAAGGUAGCGAAAUUCCUUGUCGGGUAAGUUCCGACCUGCACGAAUGGCGUAAUGAUGGCCAGGCUGUCUCCACCCGAGACUCAGUGAAAUUGAACUCGCUGUGAAGAUGCAGUGUACCCGCGGCAAGACGGAAAGACCCCGUGAACCUUUACUAUAGCUUGACACUGAACAUUGAGCCUUGAUG